rnacentral:rRNA from 1 species
GAUGAAUGCUGGCGGCGUGCUUAACACAUGCAAGUCGAACGGGAAACCUUUUAUUGAAGCUUCGGCAGAUUUAGCUGGUUUCUAGUGGCGGACGGGUGAGUAACGCGUGGGUAACCUGCCUUAUACAGGGGGAUAACAACCAGAAAUGGUUGCUAAUACCGCAUAAGCGCACAGGACCGCAUGGUCCGGUGUGAAAAACUCCGGUGGUAUAAGAUGGACCCGCGUUGGAUUAGCUAGUUGGCAGGGUAACGGCCUACCAAGGCGACGAUCCAUAGCCGGCCUGAGAGGGUGAACGGCCACAUUGGGACUGAGACACGGCCCAGACUCCUACGGGAGGCAGCAGUGGGGAAUAUUGCACAAUGGGGGAAACCCUGAUGCAGCGACGCCGCGUGAAGGAAGAAGUAUCUCGGUAUGUAAACUUCUAUCAGCAGGGAAGAUAGUGACGGUACCUGACGAAGAAGCCCCGGCUAACUACGUG